rnacentral:rRNA from 1 species
GACGAACGCUGGCGGCGUGCUUAACACAUGCAAGUCGAACGGAAAGGCCCCUUUGGGGGUACUCGAGUGGCGAACGGGUGAGUAACACGUGAGUAACCUGCCCUUGACUUCGGGAUAACUUCAGGAAACUGGGGCUAAUACCGGAUAGGAAUCCUUGCUGCAUGGUGGGGGUUGGAAAGCUUCGGCGGUUUUGGAUGGACUUGCGGCUUAUCAGCUUGUUGGUGGGGUAGUGGCUUACCAAGGCUUUGACGGGUAGCCGGCCUGAGAGGGCGACCGGCCACAUUGGGACUGAGAUACGGCCCAGACUCCUACGGGAGGCAGCAGUGGGGAAUAUUGCACAAUGGGCGGAAGCCUGAUGCAGCAACGCCGCGGGCGGGAUGACGGCCUUCGGGUUGUAAACCGCUUUCAGCAGGGGCGAAGCUUGUGGUGACGGUACCUGCAGAAGAAGCACCGGCUAACUACGUG